rnacentral:rRNA from 1 species
UUCUCGCAUCGAUGAAGAACGUAGCGAAAUGCGAAUACUUGUGUGAWUUGCAAGAUUCCGCGAACCAUCGAGUCUUUGAACGCAAGUUGCGCCCGAGGCCUCUUGGCUGAGGGCACGCCUGCCUGGGCGUCACGCCAAACACGCUCCCACCCCACUAACCUGGGG